CCUACGGGAGGCAGCAGUGAGGAAUAUUGGUCAAUGGCCGGAAGGCUGAACCAGCCAAGCCGCGUGAAGGACGAAGGUGCCAAGCAUUGUAAACUUCUUUUGUCAAGGGACAAAAUCAGGCUCGAGAGCCUGACCGAGGGUACUUGAAGAAAAAGCAUCGGCUAACUCCGUGCCAGCAGCCGCGGUAAUACGGAGGAUGCGAGCGUUAGCCGGAUUUAUUGGGUUGAAAGGGUGCGUAGGCGGGCGGUUAAGUCAGCGGUAAAAGCCCGGGGCUAAACCCCGGCGAGCCGUUUAUACUGGCUGUCUUGAGCUUUCGACAGGUAUGCGGACUGCGCCUUGUAGCGGUGACAUGCUUAGAUAUUGCGCAGAACUCCGAUUGCGAAGGCAGCAUACCGGCGGCGAUCUGACGCUGAGGCAC
rnacentral:rRNA from 1 species